rnacentral:sRNA from 1 species
AUUAAACUGCUUCCUGUUUUUACUUUUAGGACGAAUACCUUUCUCUCGUGGCCAGGCUCAUUAUCCAUUUUCGAGACAUUCAUAACAAGAAAUCUCAAGCUUCCGUCAGUGAUCCUAUGAAUGCACUCCAGAGCCUGACUGGCGGACCCGCCGCGGGAGCCGCCGGAAUUGGCAUGCCUCCUCGGGGCCCGGGACAGUCUCUGGGCGGGAUGGGUAGCCUUGGUGCCAUGGGACAGCCAAUGUCUCUCUCAGGGCAGCCGCCUCCUGGGACCUCGGGCAUGGCCCCUCACAGCAUGGCUGUCGUGUCUACGGCAACUCCACAGACCCAGCUGCAGCUCCAGCAGGUGGCGCUGCAGCAGCAGCAGCAACAGCAGCAGUUCCAGCAGCAGCAGCAGGCGGCGCUACAGCAGCAGCAACAGCAGCAACAGCAGCAGUUCCAGGCUCAGCAGAGUGCCAUGCAGCAGCAGUUCCAAGCAGUAGUGCAGCAGCAGCAGCAGCUCCAGCAGCAGCAGCAGCAGCAGCAUCUAAUUAAAUUGCAUCAUCAAAAUCAGCAACAGAUACAGCAACAGCAACAGCAGCUA